rnacentral:lncRNA from 1 species
CAAGACUGUGCCACUGCACUCCAGCUGGGGUGAAAGAGUGAGACUCCAUCUGAAAAAACAAAACAAAACAAACAAACAAAAAACCCCCAACAUUAUGAUAUAGCUAUUCAUUGGGCAGCCAUUAAAAUUCUAGUUAUGAAGAUUAUAUCAUUACAUGGGAAAUAUGGUAGAUGGUGAAUGAAAAUGAUAUAAAAGUAUUAAUAUGAUAUAACAUUAUUAAUAACCAAAUAUCCAGUUAGGGUUUUCAAACAAAAUCUGUUCCUUUUCUUGGUUAAAGUGGCAUUAUCUUGAUGAAAAAGAAAAAAAAAUCUUCUGCUUUUUUGGCAAAGUUUCCCUUGGCUGUCUUUAGAGUGUGCCAUCCAUGUGGAUGUCAUUUCUCCUGAUGAUCCGGGUAUGAUGAUGGGGGCUCUCUUCCCUACUUGGAGCUCCUAGGCUCACUCCCCCACUGACCUCACUCAGCUGAGUUGUUAAUGGGUUUCAUCCUGGCAUAAUCCCAUUUCUAUUUUUAAGCUCUUUAGACCCUCUUGGGUAAAACUAGUUUUAACUCCAAAUGCACUUUCUUUUUGAAUAAAUGUGAAUUAAGCAAUUUCAGGGAACAAAAUGUUUGACAAUGAACAGGUUGAGUGUAAAGGAUAUGAAUGUUUAUUUGGGAUAUUAAAUUCCAAAUACAAAUAAUUGUAUUAUUCUCCAAAUGCAAGGAGUAUGAAAGUUGUGUCUUGUAUCUUAUCCUUCAUAGCAUGGGAGGUGUUGCUAUUUGCUAAGUGUAUUCUAAAAUGAAAUCUUAAUUUCCCCCUUCCCACCCCACUUGCUGCAACUCAAAUUAGCAAGUUGCACCAUCAUCCUCACUGUUGCUUAGGCCAAAAAUCUACGUGUUCUUGUGGUAGUUAGCUUCUGCCGCAGUAACAGGUAGUCCAGACAUCUCUGUAGCUUGCAACUGCAAAUGUUUGUUUCUCACUCUGGGGUCUGAGGCUGGCUGCAGCUUCUAAGCUGCUCCUCUUGGCUGGACUCCUUUGGGCCACCCUUCUUCUCACCCAGGACCCAGGCUGGCAGAGAAGUUACACCCUGGGGCAUGCUUUCCUCAGGGUGCAAGGUAGAAGUCAGGAAGGACAGCAGAAGCAAAUGAUGCCUUUUAAAGCCUCUGCUUGUAUCUGGCACACUGUCACUUUAUGUGCAUCCCAUUGCUUGGAACAAAUCAUGUGGUCAAGUCCAAAGUGAAGGUGCAAGGACAUGCACUGUCCCCUCAUAUAAACCUUCACAUUAUUCUGCAAGUUACUUAUGGCUGAGCAACUCCCACGUGCACAUGUAAAUAAACCUUGCCUUUUCUCCUGUUAAUCUAUCUUCAGUUAAUUUGCAGGCCCCCAAGCAUGGGACCCAAGUGGUAGAGGUGAAAUUUUUUCUCCUAACAAUAGCAUAUUUUGGCCUAGUGAUUCAUGAUAACUGUAAGUUAUUAACAAUACAGUAGAAUCAUUCCAAGUUAUACUUAACAUUUAAAACUUUCAUCAAUGAUUAUGAAUGAUGACUCAUCCCAGGGACACAAUGCUUAACACCACCUGGCUUGAAUACUGACUGAUCCACUUACUAGCAGCUUAACAAUACAAUUUUAUUUUUAAAAAUUUAUUCAUUUAUUUAUUUUUUUUAGACAGGGUCUUGCUCUGUUGCGCAGGCUGGAGUGUAGUAGUGAUAUCUUGGCUUAUUACAGCCUCUACUUCCUGGGCUCAAGCAAUCCUCCCACCUCAGCCCCUUGAGUAGCCGGGACCACAGGCAUACGCCACCACACACGUCUGAUUUUUGUACUUUUUGUAGAGACAAGGGUUUCACUGUGUUGCACAGGCUGGUUUCAGACCCCUGAACUCAAGUAAUCCACCUGCCUUGGCCUCCCAAAGUGCUGGGAUUACAGGCAUGAACCACCACACCGGCUCACAAUUUUAUUGUUUUACAGUCCUGAGGUUGGAAGCCCGGCACUGUCCCCCUGGGUUAAAGUGGAGGUGUCGAUAGGGCGGGUCCCUUCUGUAGCUCCAGGGGAAUAUCUGGUCCUUGCCUUUCCCAGCUUCUAGAGGCUCCUGCUUUCCUCGGCUAGUGGCUUGUGGACCCUUCUGUCUUCAGAGCUGGCAGUGUGCGUUUCUCUGUGCCUUUCUCCAUAGUCAUAUCUUCCUCUGACCCUGACCCUCUUUUCACUUUUGAGGAGUUUUGUGAUUACACUGAGGACAUGAAGACCAUCCAGGACAAGUGCCCUCUUUCAAGGCCUGCUGAUUCCAUCUGCAACCUCAGUGUCGCCUUGCCACGUUACCUAACAUAGGCACAGGUCUGGAGAUCAGGACUUGGAUGUUUUUAGUUUUUUUUUGGAAGUACUGUUCUGCCUUCCACACUCUCUGCAGCUUUUCUGGUGGAUGCUGCAUCAGAGGGCCUCGCUACCUUUCCAAGGCAACAUCGUUCUUGGAGCACCUGCUGAGGUGCUCUCUGCUGGGGGCCGUAAGUGAGCAUCGAAAAAGCUGUAAAAAGUAUCCCUGCUGCUCUCCAGGGACUCACAGCAUGGACGGCACCUGCAUUGAGAGAAGACGGCAAUGGUAUCGUGAUGGUGAGUCUGUUGCCGCUGUAUAGAGAAAUGGGGAGGGAGAACUCAAUUGCAACUUGGGAAGAAGAUCAUCUGGGAGGAGGUGGAGCCUUUCUGUCUUGAAGGUUGGGUCUACCUCCAGGUGUGAAGGAAGGACAUUUCAUAUACAGGGGAAAGAGGUUUAAAGUAUGGAGCUGGUGUGUGUGUGUGUGUGUGUGUGUAUGUAUGUGUAUUUGCACCUGGAAGCAUGAGUGUGUGUGCACGUGUGUGCUGGCAUCUGGGUCUGUGGUCACAGAUGUUUGCACAUGUGUGCAUGUACCUCUUUGUGUGUGCAUGUACCUCUUUGUGUGUGCAUGUGUGUGUGGCUUAUUUGUGAAACAAAACCAAAAGCCAGAUGAGGAAACUUUAUGGGAAGCGAAGUCUGAAGACAGAUGGGGCCCAGGCUGCAGACAUCUGGAGGGCCAGGCUGUGAGGGCAGGGCUUUGGCUGUGUGCGGGGCAGUGGGAAGCCUAGUGGGGUAGGAAGGGCCACUUUGAGAUGGUGCAGUGGUGACAGGAGAACACGAUGACUGAGGCCAAGAGCUCAGUUAAUAUUUCAAGUGGGAUGUUGUGAGGCCUGAAAUAAGGCUGACAUGGAGUGGGUGGGGAGGAGGGAUCUGCAUCAUGGGACCCCCUACUCUGGAAGUUGCUUGGCAGCUGCCCAUCAAUCAUUGAAUAGACAUCUGUUGAGUUUCCUGCUUCCUGCCCUGCACUGUGCUAAGUAACAGAGGUACAGAGCAUCUCAGUCACCUCCAUGGUACUCAGACCCCCUCCCAAUGCGGUCACACAUUGCUAACAACAGUGCUGCCAAAGGAACAGCUGAGCACUAUGUGUGCGGGUGGUGCUAACUCUUGCAUGUGGGCUGUGCCAGGUGUGUGCCCAGCGCUUCCUCAGGAGGCAUUAAGGAGCAAGCUUCCAGAUACCCGCUUCUCAGCCCAGCUCUGGCUGUUGAGCUGCUUCCCCCUGUGGGAUGCUGCAGCUUCCUAACUGCUGCAGUUUUCAAAGUGUGCAAAUCUGAUCUAGAGAAGUAAGGCCACUAGCUCCAGAUGGGCCCACAGCUGUUGGGUUCAAAGGGCUUCAACGAGCCACGAUUAUUAUCUGUGGUCUUGAUAAUAAGAUCAUUAUCUUAUUCUGUGUUCCUGUAAUAACGACGUGUUUGUAAAUGUUGACCCUGCAAGGUGACAGGUAGAUAAAAAUGCCUAUGGUUCUGAUAAAUAGUCAUUGGAUAUUUAUGUCAUCCAAGGGUGGUGGCUUUGGAGUGUGGAAGGUAAUAAUAAGACAAUAAUCUCGUGAUAAUAGUCUGAGAUGAAUUAUAUCUUUAAUUAUGCUUAAAAUAACUUUUAAAGAAU